AUUGAACGCUGGCGGCAUGCUUUACACAUGCAAGUCGAACGGUAACAGGUUAAGCUGACGAGUGGCGAACGGGUGAGUAAUGCAUCGGAACGUGCCCGAUCGUGGGGGAUAACGUAGCGAAAGUUACGCUAAUACCGCAUCUGAUCUGAGGAUGAAAGCGGGGGACCGUAAGGCCUAGCGCGAUCGGAGCGGCCGAUGUCAGAUGAGGUAGUUGGUGGGGGAAAGGCCCACCAAGCCGACGAUCUGUAGCUGGUCUGAGAGGACGACCAGCCACACUGGGACUGAGACACGGCCCAGACUCCUACGGGAGGCAGCAGUGGGGAAUUUUGGACAAUGGGCGCAAGCCUGAUCCAGCAAUGCCGCGUGCAGGAAGAAGGCCUUCGGGUUGCAAACUGCUUUUGUACGGAGCGAAAAGGCUCUCUCUAAUACAGGGGGCUCAUGACGGUACCGUAAGAAUAAGCACCGGCUAACUACGUGCCAGCAGCCGCGGUAAAAC
rnacentral:rRNA from 1 species